rnacentral:rRNA from 1 species
UACGGGAGGCAGCAGUAAGGAAUAUUGGACAAUGGAGGCAACUCUGAUCCAGCCAUGCCGCGUGAAGGAUGACGGCCCUAUGGGUUGUAAACUUCUUUUAUACGGGAAUAAACCCGUGUACGUGUACGCAUCUGACUGUACCGUAAGAAUAAGCAUCGGCUAACUCCGUGCCAGCAGCCGCGGUAAUACGGAGGAUGCAAGCGUUAUCCGGAUUCAUUGGGUUUAAAGGGUGCGUAGGCGGAUUUAUAAGUCAGCGGAGAAAUCCGGCAGCUCAACUGUAGAACUGCCAUUGAUACUGCAAGUCUUGAGUGCGGGAGAGGUAGGCGGAAUGUGGCAUGUAGCGGUGAAAUGCUUAGAUAUGACACAGAACACCGAUUGCGAAGGCAGCUCACUGGACUGUAACUGACGCUGAGGCACGAAAGCGUGGGGAUCAAACAGGAUUAGAUACCCUGGUAGUCCACGCCGUAAACGAUGAUCACUCGAUGUUGGCGAUACACAGUCAGUGUCUAAGCGAAAGCGAUAAGUAAUCCACCU